rnacentral:lncRNA from 1 species
CAGAGAAGGGAAUGGAGUUCAUAUUUAAUUAGCUCCUACUCUCUUCCACGCACUGUGCUGAGUGCUUUGUAAACCUCUUCUCAGUUUUACCUCUCACAAUAACUCUGCUUGGUAGCUGUUACCAUUCUGUUUUGUGAGGACACAGACAGUCAGUAACAUUUUCAGCAGCACAGUUUGCACAAAUCCCCAAAACUGAGAUUUUAACCCAUGUUUGUUUGAUUCCAAGGCUCCUGCUGAAACCACUGUGUCCUGCUACCUCACUGCUUUCUCGAACAUUGAACCAGCCUGUCUCAGAGGAGGUGGUAGAAGAGAGAAGACCGAACUGAGGAAAGUUUCUCAGACAGUUCUCGUGAAUCACCCAAGUCCCACAGCUUCAGAGAAACAGAGUCCUCAGGCACUUCUCCACGUGCUCUCCACAAGGACAAGUGAGGCAACUCUUCUGAGGAAAACAAUGAUAUGAAGACGAACACGUGUACACUCCCAGUCUGAGACGAGGGAACAUUAAUCAGGAGAGUGCAGAAGGUUCCCCUGGAUCUGCAGACUCCCUGGCCCUUCCUCACAGCACUGGAGAUGCGAGAGACGAGAUCCGGGCAACGUGGUGUUGCACUGUGAGCAUGGGAUGGGAGCCAAGAGUUUCUAGUUCCAGCUCCAUGCCAGAUUUACCAGGCAAGUGACCUCUUUGUCUAAGUCUUUGGGCUGGAGUGAAGAAUAAGCAUAUAGACGGGAUAAUCCUUGAGGUUUCUGUGAGCAGAUGAGAAGAUUCUGUAGAGUCGACUCUGAAUAAGAUCAAUUGUUCAUUCAGUUUCUAAUGAGUCAGCACCAUUCUAUUUCAAAAGACUUCAGAGCACACCACAAAUAAGCCUGCCUUAACAUAUACUUCCUGCUGGCUACUGAAGUCAGUGAUAGGGAAAGAGCCUGGGAGUCAUAGCCAAAAAGAACUGGGAUGGAUUUCUGGCUCCACAUAGCUGUGUGUCCUUGGGUAAAUUACUCAACUUACCUUUUUUGAUCCUAAAUGUUUUCUCUGUAAAAAAAACAAAACAAAACAAAAUCCUAUCCAGUAGAAUUAAAAUCUGAAAACAUGUGCAAAAUGUCAGUGCCACCUGUCAGAUAGCACAUACACAACACAUAUAAGUCCUUUCUCUGCUCUCUUCUUUUCACUCUC